GGACUACUAGGGUAUCUAAUCCCGUUUGCUCCCCUGGCUUUCGCGCCUCAGCGUCAGAAGAGGUCCAGCGCGUCGCUUUCGCCACCGGCGUUCCUUCCGAUAUCUACGCAUUUCACCGCUCCACCGGAAGUUCCACACGCCCCUACCUCCCUCGAGGCAAUCAGUAUCAGGGGCUCUUCUACGGUUGAGCCGCAGGAUUUCACCCUUGACUUGAUCGCCCGCCUACGCGCCCUUUAAGCCCAGUGAUUCCGAACAACGUUCGCACGGUUCGUCUUACCGCGGCUGCUGGCAC
rnacentral:rRNA from 3 species